rnacentral:snRNA from 1 species
AUGGCUGCAUUUAGUUUACUGCCAAAUUUUGGUAACUAUAUAAGAAAUCCUGCCAAAAUUUUUGGCAAGUUGCCAAAAUUUCGGCAACUAUGCCAAAAUUUUGGCAAUGCCAAAAAUUGGUAAGGUUUUUUUUGGCAUCAAAGUGAACAGGCCCU